UCCUGGCCACAACGCAACAAUUCUUGCUGUGAAGCAUAUUGUGCAAUUUAUUCACUUUUCAGCAUUAGACAAUCAACUACUUUCCAUUUACUAAUUCUAGACAUUUGAGAGGAGAGCGUGUGUGUAAAGGUGUGUUUGUGUGUGUGGUUGGACCCCUUUUAGAUCCGUGGAUGGGAAAAACAGAAUGUGUAUCAACUGCUUUGUUUCCGAUUAGAUGAAACUAUGUUUUCUUUUAGAGUACAAUGAAGAAAUAUAUACACGUCCUGAAUCCAGAAGAAACGCCGUUGCUAAAAAAGGUGAAGCAGAAAUAUUAUAAGGGCAGCCUCUGAUGACAGCGAGCCUAAAGACGCUAGAUACAUCAUGAUAAGGAUGUCAGGCUUCAGUUUUGGCACAAUUUGCAUAGCAUUCUUCAUUAUUAUACCCAGCAAUAUUGUUGAAUCGACGACUUUUAUAACGCAAAUAAUGAAAAGAUCCACAAAGGAAACAAAUUGCUCAGAAGCGACGAAAACUGCAAAUGCUGCUGUAUCUUGCCCAACAGAUUUAGAAUAUAUCAAAGAUCGAGCAAGAAUAUUUAACUGCGAAAAUGUUCAUGAUCCAUGUUCAGCUGAAAAAUUGACGUACCACUGUGUUUCUUCUGGAACAAUUAUAAAAGAAGUAUGUGCUCCAAGAAAAUAUCUUACAGGAAAAUAUUGUGUCCACUUUGAUGAAGGAGUAGGCCGCGUCCUUGAAGAUUUCACUAUUUCGUGUCCUGAGUGUCCCCUUCAUUAUUAUUCUAAUGAAUCUUUUAUAUAUCCAUCAUGCCUAAAACGAAUACAAUCUUUGUUUGUUACCCAGACAACUUCGCUUACAACCCAAAAGUCUUUGUCUGAAUGGAAAACUACAAUAAAAUCUACACAAAUGCCAGCCAAGGAGGAGAAUGGAACAACCAAUGCAACGAAUAUUUGCGGAACUUUUUCGGAGCGUCACAAACGAAGUGUAAGCUGUCAGCAAAGCAUCACUUCAGGACCUAAUGAUAACAGUCAAUUAGAUGACAUAAAUGGGGCUCAAAAGAUGUUUCUGAUGUUGCCAUAUUGCCAUUUUUUAUCGAGUAUUUUCAUGUCACGGCUUUUGUAUUGGGGUUUGCUGUUUUAAAAGUCUGGAUAUGAUUAAGUGAAGGCUGCACGACGACGCCAUUUUAGACUACCUGUAGGACUUUGACAUGUGGUAAAAUGCAAAUGAAAUUCGAUGAAAAUCUUAUUAAGAGGCAUAAAAGCAGUCACAUUUGGCAAUUAUUCAAAAUGGAAUCGUUUUCUGGACAUCAAAAUUCUAUGCACACACUAUGGCAGGCAUUUAAUGUAAUUAUUGGCAAGUGGGCAAAUCGUAUCACAUCUAUCAAAGCUGAAUUACUUCAUACCAAAUCUCAACAUCUGUUUCACAUAUUCAGCCGUAGAAGGAUUUAACUACGCCAACGUCGUUCUACAAGAUCAAAAUAUAGGAUUUAGCGUGGAUAAGACCGACCAACAAGGGUGCCUACUCCUCUUAGGCACCUGAUUUCAUCUGGGAUGUUCACUUGUCUGUAUUUUAUACCCUCUUCACAGAUUUGUAUUGUCUAUACUUUUUAGGUUCAUCUCUUUUACUCAUUGACUAUUUUACUGUUGGAUAUGAUUGUAAACGGUGGCAUUCUGAAGUGAUUCAUAAUUUCAAUGAAAUACAAUGCAAAGCGUGAACAAAGUGAAAUCAAAAUACAUAUAAUAAGUGAAAGGCUGAUUCCUAAUUUUAAUCAUUUUGACUAUUAUUGUUAUUUCACGAUCAUGACAAUGAGCACAUGGCGGGUGUGACCGGUCGGCAAGGGAUGCUCACUUCCCCGCGGUAUCUGAUCCAUUCUCUAAUGUUUCGGAGGUCCGAGUCUGCUCUGCUAGUAUUUUGUAUUGUUUUACGGAUUUGAUAUUGAAUACUGUUCGUUAUCUCUAUAUCCUUCUUUAAAUGAUUUUCGUUAGAUUGUUUAAUCAUUUGUUUUGGUAAAAUCGUAAAAUCUUUUUUUUUUUUCAAUUUAUAAGUACCAUAGUCAUAUUUAUCAAAAAUUACAAUUUUAUUUGCUGAAGAACAGAUGAGUAAACAAAAAAUGGAUGCCUGUGUUCGUUUACAUUUUUUAGAAUAAAUUUCUUUGAUUGUAAAUGAUGCAAAUUAUAUUUUUUUCUAGAAUUUAAAGAAAUUGUAAUCUUUUGUGAUAUUCAAAAUUCUUUUCUUCUGAAACCAUCAUUAUUAUUCUAGACAAAUAUAUUUCACUCUAAAUUCAAUUUUUGUGCAACGUAAGAAAAAAAACCCCGAAGAUUCUCUGAAACUUAUUCAUUUGAUUCCUUCAAACAUGACCCAA